rnacentral:rRNA from 1 species
UGGGGAAUAUUGGACAAUGGGCGAAAGCCUGAUCCAGCAAUGCCGCGUGAGUGAUGAAGGCCUUAGGGUUGUAAAGCUCUUUUACCAGGGAUGAUAAUGACAGUACCUGGAGAAUAAGCUCCGGCUAACUCCGUGCCAGCAGCCGCGGUAAUACGGAGGGAGCUAGCGUUGUUCGGAAUUACUGGGCGUAAAGCGUACGUAGGCGGUGACUCAAGUCAGAGGUGAAAGCCUGGAGCUCAACUCCAGAACUGCCUUUGAAACUAGGUCGCUAGAAUCACGGAGAGGUGAGUGGAAUUCCGAGUGUAGAGGUGAAAUUCGUAUAUAUUCGGAAGAACACCAGUGGCGAAGGCGGCUCACUGGACGUGUAUUGACGCUGAGGUACGAAAGCGUGGGGAGCAAACAGGAUUAGAUACCCGAGUAGUCCCUGAGCGGGCUGGCAAGGCGCAU